ACAUACGACCAUAGGGUGUGGAGAACAGGGCUUCCCGUCCGCUCAGCCGUACUUAAGCCACACGCCGGGAGGUUAGUAAUUGGGUGGGUGACCACCAGCGAAUCCCUCCUGUUGUAUGUU
rnacentral:rRNA from 1 species